rnacentral:tRNA from 1 species
GCCCGUAUAGCUUAGUUGGUUAAAGCCUUACUGUAAAGAUACACGUGGGUUCGAAUCCUACUGCGGGUACCA